CAUGAAACCACUGUGGAAAUACUCCAUUCCUUUUUAAGAAAUUCACAAUUUAGGGUCCUGUCAGCAGCUCUGGGGUCUUUUGUUAGGUGCACUUAAAAUGCCAGAUUAAAUAUUAAUAUGUGGUUAGAGUUGUGCUAUUUUGCAAGCCCUGAAACCCUAUUAGUAAAUCAUGAUCUGGUGACUGAUGCAAGAAAUUUCAAGGAACCAAGAGUGCAGAUUGCCCAUCAAUCUGAUGGAUCACUAAUUUUUAGUAAAUCAGGCCCUUGGACUUUUAGCUGUAAGCAGACGUAUGUUUCAUUGUGACGGGAAAAGCAGUCCAACUAAAAGAGCAAUUUUCUGCACUGAAUGUGUACCGUAACAGGCAGAGUUGUUUUGCAUAAUCACUAAGUUAUUUGAAUACAAGUGUUCAUUUAGCAGGCUGUGCAUGAGUGAUGCUGUUCUUGGGAAAAAAAGCCCACAUUUUUAGCUAGAAGAGAAAGCUGAAUUAUUUUAAUAGAAUAGUACUAGGAUUUCAAAAGGGAUCCUCAGGAUUGGAGAGCUUCAGAAGGACAAUGACCAAGGACAAGAAGGGUUAUAUCUUCCCAGCCCUCCAAAGGAGCUGCAUCUCCUCUGUAGGCUUCAUCACCCAUGGUCCUGCAAGGGGAGGAACCAGUCAGGGGGUGCAGUCUGCUGGCACUCACAUGGAAAUUGGCAUCAGAAAGAGACCUCUACACACCUCCUUUGCAGUGCUGCUUCACAGACACUGAGAAGUACAGUUCUGAAAGGCUGAAAGCUCUUGCAUGUAUCUGUAUUUUUCUUAGGUGAGUCUCUUCAAACACUAGUGUAGACUUUGCUUAAAAGAAAUCCCCUUAAUCAAAAUCUAAAAUGAAAUACAGUUAAUAAAUUCAUGUUUUAUUCCUUAGCAGGAGGCUACAAAUAUAAGCCAUUACAAUCAAUAUAUUGAAAGUACAGUAUGCAUUAUUUUUUAAAUAAAUAACUAAUGUGCAACAAUUUAUAGAAUCAUAGAAUUCAAGGCUUUUUAAAGCUGAUAGAAACUCUAAGAAAGAGAGACAUGUUUUUUGUUUGUUUGUUUGCUUUUACAUACCAGGUGGCCACUUUUACUAUUUCAAAAACUAAAUAAUUUCUUUUAUUUAAAGAAUAUGAUCAAAAUCAAUAGGCCAUCUGGUAUUGACACUGGGAAGUAACAUGCGGCAACACCAACCAUUCUGAAACAUUCCAGCGAGCUUUUAUCGCAAGUGGGUGUCUGCUGGGAGCAUGGAGUGUGUUCACAUUUCCAUCAAGCCCUGAUCAAUGGGAAUUUAUUACUACUUAGACAAAUAGACAUCCAGGCUGUGCAAACCAGAACCAGCUGGGAUGUACGCCCAUGUCAGAAAGAUACACAAGUAUGAAAACAGAGUGAAAGAGUUCAAGAAUAUAGGAAUGCCUUUUUAGUCUUUUGCGAUGCUAAUACUUUGCUACUACAUCCUGUGAAAAUGCAAGUGCUAACAAAGCAAAGAUCUUUUUUUUUUUUUUUUUUUUUUU
ensembl:lncRNA